rnacentral:rRNA from 1 species
UACGUAGGGUGCGAGCGUUAAUCGGAAUUACUGGGCGUAAAGCGCGCGUAGGCGGACCUGCAAGUCGGGGGUGAAAGCCCGAGGCUCAACCUCGGAACUGCCUUCGAUACUGCGGGUCUCGAGUCCGGGAGAGGUGAGUGGAAUUCCUAGUGUAGAGGUGAAAUUCGUAGAUAUUAGGAAGAACACCAGUGGCGAAGGCGGCUCACUGGCCCGGUACUGACGCUGAGGUGCGAAAGCGUGGGGAGCAAACAGG